CGACCUGCUUUGCGAGGUUGUAAUGCCUGAUAGUGUGGUCAUUGUUAACGUUCAAUUACCGUCUCAUACAUAGUGUCCUUCAGACAUAUCCUUCAGAUUCAUUUGGAAGAACCUUGUAAAGAUAAAUAAAGCCCAAGGCUCUGAACUACAAGUA